rnacentral:ncRNA from 2 species
AAACGAUAAUGGCAAACCUGUUGAAAAGCAGGGACGCAAAGCUAUGGGUCUAAGGUUCUGAUGUCAGCCGCGGAGGCUUGACGGGGGACUAUGACAGCCGGUUGCCGAA